AGAGUUUGAUCCUGGCUCAGAUUGAACGCUGGCGGCAUGCUUUACACAUGCAAGUCGAACGGCAGCACGGGGGGGGUAACCCUCUGGUGGCGAGUGGCGAACGGGUGAGUAAUGCAUCGGAACGCGUCCUGUAAUGGGGGAUAACCUGGCGAAAGUCAGGCUAAUACCGCAUACGUCCUGAGGGAGAAAGCGGGGGAUUGGCAACGACCUCGUGUUAUAGGAGCGGCCGAUGUCGGAUUAGCUAGUUGGUGGGGUAAAGGCCUACCAAGGCGACGAUCCGUAGCGGGUCUGAGAGGACGGCCCGCCGCACUGGGACUGAGACACGGCCCAGACUCCUACGGGAGGCAGCAGUGGGGAAUUUUGGACAAUGGGGGCAACCCUGAUCCAGCCAUGCCGCGUGAGUGAAGAAGGCCUUCGGGUUGUAAAGCUCUUUCGGCCGGGAAGAAAUCGCUCAAGCUAAUACCUUGGGUGGAUGACGGUACCGGAAGAAGAAGCACCGG
rnacentral:rRNA from 1 species